rnacentral:lncRNA from 1 species
CCUCGGCUUUCUGCAGGACUCUGUGGCACAGCAAGCGCGUGGUGAUGACACACUUGGUCCCUCAGACCCUGCCAGAAGAAAAAGAGCUCUCCAGGCCUAGGAGCAAGGGCUGCACCCGCUCUGCCUCCUUCACUCGAGACCACAGCUCGCAGCGCCCCGACCCUCUCCUGUAUCCGUCGGCUUAGGGCUCUCCUCACACAUAGACUCUGGACCUGAAGCUGUCCCUCUGGACAGCAGCCUUGGCCCGGCACGUAGCGCUGUUUGCACAGCCCUUGCUCAAACACGACGGCCACGACCUCGCUCUGCCACAGCCGCCUUAGCACCACCACAACGCGCGCGGCCAGGCCUCGGCGCCUGUGGGGCCUGAGGGUGGGCACCCACGGCAGAGGCCAAAGGCUCACCCGCCUUCUGCGACU